CUACGGGCGGCUGCAGUGGGGAAUAUUGGGCAAUGGGCGCAAGCCUGACCCAGCAACGCCGCGUGAGGGAAGAAGGUUUUCGGAUUGUAAACCUCUGUCCUUGGGGACGAAGAAGUGACGGUACCCAAGGAGGAAGCUCCGGCUAACUACGUGCCAGCAGCCGCGGUAAUACGUAGGGAGCAAGCGUUGUCCGGAAUUACUGGGCGGAAAGGGUGCGUAGGCGGCAUAUUAAGUCAGGUGUGAAAUACUCGGGCUCAACCCGAGGGGUGCAUUUGAAACUGAUAAGCUUGAGUGUGAGAGAGGAAAGUGGAAUUCCUAGUGUAGCGGUGGAAUGCGUAGAUAUUAGGAGGAACACCAGUGGCGAAGGCGACUUUCUGGCUCAUAACUGACGCUGAGGCACGAAAGCGUGGGGAGCAAACAGGAUUAGAUACCCUCGUAGUC
rnacentral:rRNA from 1 species